UGAAUACGAGACGCUACGGCGUCGAAGCAGUCUAUGUCAUACUUCCAAGAAAAGCUUGCACUGUCAUAAACAAAUAAUGCCUGUACCAUAACCGACACAGGUGGGUAGGUAGAGUAUACUAAGGGGCGCGAGAUAACUCUCUCUAAGGAACUCGGCAAAAUGACUCCGUAACUUCGGGAGAAGGAGUGCCUUAUUUAUAAGGUUGCAAUAACAAGAUCCAAGCAACUGUUUAUCAAAAACACAGGUCUCCGCUAAGUCGUAAGACGAUGUAUGGGGGCUGACGCCUGCCCAGUGCCAGAAGGUUAAAGAAGUUGGUUAGCAUUAGCGAAGCUGAUAACUGAAGCCCUGGUGAACGGCGGCCGUAACUAUAACGGUCCUAAGGUAGCGAAAUUCCUUGUCGGGUAAGUUCCGACCCGCACGAAAGGCGUAAUGAUUUGGAUACUGUCUCAGAGAGGGGCUCGGUGAAAUAGACUUGUCUGUGAAGAUGCGGACUACCUGCACCAGGACAGAAAGACCCUAUGAAGCUUUACUGUAACUUGAAAUUGAAAUUGGACUUUAUUUGCGCAGUAUAGGUGGGAGGCAUUGAUAAUAUUCUUGCGGGAAUGUUGGAGCCAUCAGUGAGAUACCACUCUUGUAAUGUUAGAUUUCUAACUUUGGAUCAUUAUCUGGUCAAAGGACAGUUUCAGGCGGGCAGUUUGACUGGGGCGGUCGCCUCCUAAAUGUUAACGGAGGCGCACAAAGGUUUCCUCUGAACGGGUAGAAAUCGUAUCUAGAGUGUAAAGGCAUAAGGAAGCUUGACUGUGAGACCUACAAGUCGAGCAGGGACGAAAGUCGGUCUUAGUGAUCUGACGGUGCUGAGUGGAAAGGCCGUCACUCAACGGAUAAAAGUUACUCUAAGGAUAACAGGCUGAUCUCCCCCAAGAGUUCACAUCGACGGGGAGGUUUGGCACCUCGAUGUCGGCUCAUCGCAUCCUGGGGCGGUAGUACGUCCCAAGGGUUGGGCUGUUCGCCCAUGAAAGCGGUACGCGAGCUGGGUUCAGAACGUCGUGAGACAGUUCGGUCCAUAUCCGGUGUAGGCGUUAGAAUAUUGAGAGGAGCCUUCUUUAGUACGAGAGGACCGAGAAGGACAUACCUCUGGUGUACCAGUUAUCGUGCCAACGGUAAACGCUGGGUAGCUAUGUAUGGAGAGGAUAACCGCUGAAAGCAUCUAAGUGGGAAGCCCACCUCAAGAUAAG
rnacentral:rRNA from 1 species